AAACCCUCUAAGGAAAUAUUGUCAACCCAUUUGAUAAGGAAUCAAGGGUCAACACGGUUCAAGUGACAUCCAGGUAAAUUGAUCAGCAACCUUAAUUAUACCUUCAAUCUGAAUGCUCCUUUACAAUAAAGCCUAACAUAUUAUGGGAAUUAAGAUAUGGACAUCGUUGGAAGACCAUAUUCUAGCUAUUACAGGUUCUAGCUGACCAAAAGUUAUAUUGCAAAUAUUCUGGAAGAUGGAAGCAAAGCACAACCAUUACCCUCUAAUGGUCAUCAUCAGUCAGGCUGUGGGAGACAGAUGCAGCUCUGCAGUGUUUCUGUAUUUCUGAUUGAAUCCCAACUGAUACAGUUAUUGGAACCAGAACUCAGUUGCUUCUGCAAUAAAAAGCCGCAGGAAAGAAG